rnacentral:rRNA from 1 species
UACGUAGGGGGCUAGCGUUGUCCGGAAUCAUUGGGCGUAAAGCGCGCGUAGGCGGCCCGGUAAGUCCGCUGUAAAAGUCAAAGGCUCAACCUUUGAAUGUCAGUGGAUACUGCCGGGCUAGAGUCCGGAAGAGGCGAGUGGAAUUCCUGGUGUAGCGGUGAAAUGCGCAGAUAUCAGGAGGAACACCUAUUGCGAAGGCAGCUCGCUGGGACGUAACUGACGCUGAGACGCGAAAGCGUGGGUAGCAAACGGG